CCAAGCAGCUAGGACUACAGGCGCACACCACCUUGCCCAGGAAUUAUUGUGUGGCAGCCAGUGCAGUGGAAAGAACAUGGGUUUUGAGCUGGACAACUCAUUGUUCAGACAUCAACAUUAUUACUUACUAGGUGGGUGAGUUGAGUAAAGUUAAACUGUCUAUGUCUUAAUUGCCUGGAAAUCUGUAAAAAUGGGAAUAGCAAUUCUUUUCUCAAAGGUUUCUGCAAGGAUUGAAAGAAACAGUACAUGUUAGCAUCCAUCUCAAUGCCUGGGCACAAGGUGGGCACCAGCUUUCUAUGAAAACAAGCUGCCAUCCUGAGGAUUCAGGGCCAGUAUCCUCUAAAUCUACUUAUUCAAACUAAGAUUCUGGAACUGUAAUUAUAAUGAAGUUUACUAAUGGUAGUACUUACACCAUUAAGUGUAAGUACUAGAAAAUCUAUGGGGGAUAAUGUCUAAAGUCUUUAGGGCUGUGUAAUUAUAUGAGAAUUUGCUGUCAUGACAGUUGUGCUCAACUGCAGAUUCUGUCAGUCCAUGGUUUCCUACUUUAGCAAGGACUGAGGACAAGGCAGAGUGGUCUUCUGUGAAGUUAAACUCUGGAAUCAAUUUCCUUUGUUGAUUGAACAGUGUUUCAGCUUACUCUGAUUUUGGAUAAGGGAAACAUGCCUACUCUAGAUGGAUAGAAUUCAGAUUUGCUCUGGAGUGAAUUUGGAUGCCAUCAUUUUAUGUAGCUUUGUAUAUCUAUUUGAACCAUAAUAUUCCACAAAUUAUAAAAUACCUCAGUAAGGAAAAUUUUGAUUACCAAGGUGGGAGGAUUGCUUGAGCCCAGGAGUUUGAGACCAGCACGUAUAACAUAGGGCGACCCCCAUCUCUACAAAAAAAACUAUAAAAAAAAAAUUAACUGGGCUUAGUAGUGCACACCUAUAGUCCCAGCUCUUGGAAUGCUGAGAUGGGAGGAUCACUUGAGCUGAGAAUUUGAAACUGUAGUGGGCUAUGGUAAUGUCAUUGCACUCUAGCAUGGGCGACAGAGUGGAACCUUGUCUCAAAAAAAGUUUUGAUUAAAUAGUUAAAUUCAUGUAAUACAUGUCAUCUUAAUAUGUACAACUCUUAUUUUUAAUUUAUCUCCCAACAAUUAGGUAAUCUGAAAAAAUUGAUGGUUUGUGCACAUGAUCAUUGGGCUAAUUUUUUUUCUUUUCAUUCAGUAGUAUUUAUUGAUGAGCUAUUCUGUGGUAUGACCUCUGAGAUGUAUAUUGUAUUCUCUUUACUAUAGAAAAUAUAAUUCAAGAAAGAAGAUAACUAUAAUGCAGGACAUUUGAGAACUGAAUUAAUGGUAAAAGUAAUGUUUAUUAUCAAAGGUUAUAGCAAAUGAUUAAUUCUAGCUGGAUAAAUUAAUUUAGGUCUGGGACUGUCUUGGCAGAGACAUCAGCUGAGUUGAUCCUUCAAAAACUGCAUGACAUGGAUAGACAAAAAAUUUACGGAGAUUGGGGCAAGGAAGGGAAUGGAAGGAAGGACAUUCUAAUCAGAGGGAAUGACUUAAGAUGUGAAGAUAGAAUUCCAAUGUUUAACAGAUGGCAGACAGACUAAUGUGAAUGGGAAGGGUUUCUUUGGAAUAAGGAGAGAUUACAGUUUUGAAUGUCAAGCUAUAAGGAGCUUGAGCCUCAUUCAUUUGCUAGUAUCUGACAGUCUUAAAAUCAGUUUUUAGCUCUCAAAAUUACAUUAUGGCUUGCUGUUAUAAAAAUUACUCAACAUGCCUCUACUGUUAGCUAAUUUUUUUCCCUUUGCCACCAUUCUUUGUUUAUAAUGUAUGAAGGAUUUGUGUUUUGUUUUACAAAAAAUAUUGGAAAUGUUAACAUGGCACAGAAUACUAACAAUACUAUGUCUAUUGUUUUAUAAAACUCUGUCAGAGUGGUAAGCUGCACUAGUUACUUUUAAAUAGCUGUGUGUUAUAAGAAAUGGAAGAAAAAUACAUAGUAAAACUGGAGAUUCCAUCUCUGAUUCCUGAUCAUUGCUGGUAGAAACUUAACUUCUAUGGGACUAGAGACUUUCAUACCAUUCAGCUUCAUAUAAGAUCUGAGAAUGAAGUCCCCAUGAUACUGAUAAGCUUUCCUAGUUGUGUUAAAAAGAGUAGGGAUGUAUCUCCUUCUCUCCCCAGACAGACACUUUUACACUAACACUUUAAAAAAAAAUUGUGGUCGUGUAAGAGUGAGGUUUGUUCAGUAUAUUGUGGUAGAAAGAGCACUGAGAACCAAUCUCAGUUUCUUAGUCUUAGUUUGCCACCAUCUGUGUGAAUAAUCACCAACCUCUUUGACCACCAGUUGCCUCAUCUGAUAAGAGAUUAGAUUUGAUAAAUUUGGAGGUUCCUUCUAGGUCUAAGAUUCCAUCAUUCAUUACUCCUUUUUUUAAUUUUUUUGUCUGGCUCUUAAGAUAUCUGCUGGCGUAACUCCUUCCUUAAAUAUUGUUUCUCUGAGCAUGUGUGUCUUUCUUAACUUGAUAUACUAGCUAUUCAGAAAUUGAGGUAAAGAAUACCUAUGCCUUUGAGUAAUUAUUGUGUUGAUUGAAGGCUGAUUCUGCAGGCACACUUCUAUGGUCCAGGAGGCUGUAGCCUAAUCCUGGCCUGUACCUUUUGUUGUAGCUUAUGGUGUGGAAUUCACGUAUUUACCAGUGUAUUGUAAGUGCCUAACAACAGCAACAAAAUUCAGGUUACAUAGUGGUACAUAUUAAAUUCCAUUUUAUAAAGUUCAAGAUGUGAAAAUACUUUUGUUAUUCUGAAAUUACUCCCAAAAUCACUCUGUCUCUAGAAACCACAGUUGGAAAGAUCCUUGGAGAAUGUGAGUUUCUUUCAUUUUUACAGUUGAGAAAACAUAAGACCCGAAGAAAAGUAUACUGUCCAACUGAAAAAGUAAAACUCAAAUUUCCUGCUAGUUGCUUAUUUUCUGUAUUUUGUAUUUACCCUAGCAGAGCACAAUUGCCUCUAGGUUUUGACACCAGAAAUGAAAUAAUGAUCAUCUGGCUUUUAUCAGAGAACUGGAAAGAAACAGGCUAGGUGAUUAUAUUUUGACAUUGUUCUCAAAGUAAUAAAUACAGACUCUCAGAAGUAAGUCAACUAGUAAUAAGUAGAUUCAAAGUGAAUUUUACAUUUCAUCCUUGAAACUAGGAAGCUAAGAAGAGAUAAAUAUAAAGAAAUAAAUUAGAGAUAAUUGUCAAAAAAGUUAAAAAUCAG